GUGUCAGCCGCCGCGGUAAUACGGAGGGUGCGAGCGUUGUCCGGAAUCACUGGGCGUAAAGGGCGCGUAGGCGGCCUGGUAAGUCACUUGUGAAAUCCCGGUGCUCAACGCCGGGGCCGCAGGUGAGACUGUCAGGCUAGAGCUUGGUAGAGGCGAGUGGAAUUCCCGGUGUAGCGGUGGAAUGCGUAGAUAUCGGGAAGAACACCGGUGGCGAAGGCGGCUCGCUGGGCCGAUGCUGACGCUGAGGCGCGAAAGCGUGGGGAGCAAACAGGAUUAGAAACCCGCGUAGUCC
rnacentral:rRNA from 1 species